GCCUACGGGACGCAGCAGUGAGGAAUAUUGGUCAAUGGACGCAAGUCUGAACCAGCCAAGUAGCGUGCAGGAUGACGGCCCUCCGGGUUGUAAACUGCUUUUAGUUGGGAAUAAAAGGGGGCUCGUGAGCCCCGUAUUGUAUGUACCAUCAGAAAAAGGACCGGCUAAUUCCGUGCCAGCAGCCGCGGUAAUACGGAAGGUCCGGGCGUUAUCCGGAUUUAUUGGGUUUAAAGGGAGCGUAGGCCGGCUUUUAAGUCAGCUGUGAAAUCCUGUAGCUUAACUACAGAACUGCAUUUGAAACUAUG
rnacentral:rRNA from 1 species